UACGUAGGGUGCAAGCGUUGUCCGGAAUUAUUGGGCGUAAAGAGCUCGUAGGCGGUUUGUCGCGUCGAAUGUGAAAACCCGGGGCUCAACCCCGGGCCUGCAUUCGAUACGGGCAGACUAGAGUUCGGUAGGGGAGUCUGGAAUUCCUGGUGUAGCGGUGAAAUGCGCAGAUAUCAGGAGGAACACCGGUGGCGAAGGCGGGACUCUGGACCGGUUCUGACGCUGAGGCGCGAAAGCGUGGGGAGCAAACGGG
rnacentral:rRNA from 1 species